GACGAACGCUGGCGGCGUGCCUAAUACAUGCAAGUAGAACGCUGAAGGAGGAGCUUGCUUCUCCGGAUGAGUUGCGAACGGGUGAGUAACGCGUAGGUAACCUGCCUGGUAGCGGGGGAUAACUAUUGGAAACGAUAGCUAAUACCGCAUAAGAGUAGAUGUUGCAUGACAUUUGCUUAAAAGGUGCAAUUGCAUCACUACCAGAUGGACCUGCGUUGUAUUAGCUAGUUGGUGAGGUAACGGCUCACCAAGGCGACGAUACAUAGCCGACCUGAGAGGGUGAUCGGCCACACUGGGACUGAGACACGGCCCAGACUCCUACGGGAGGCAGCAGUAGGCAAUCUUCGGCAAUGGACGGAAGUCUGACCGAGCAACGCCGCGUGAGUGAAGAAGGGUUUCGGAUCGUAAAGCUCUGUUGUAAGAGAAGAACGAGUGUGAGAGUGGAAAGUUCACACUGUGACGGUAUCUUACCAGAAAGGGACGGCUAACUACGUG
rnacentral:rRNA from 1 species